rnacentral:rRNA from 1 species
GACGAACGCUGGCGGCGUGCUUAACACAUGCAAGUCGAACGGAAAGGCCCUGCUUUUGUGGGGUGCUCGAGUGGCGAACGGGUGAGUAACACGUGAGUAACCUGCCCUUGACUUUGGGAUAACUUCAGGAAACUGGGGCUAAUACCGGAUAGGAGCUCCUGCUGCAUGGUGGGGGUUGGAAAGUUUCGGCGGUUGGGGAUGGACUCGCGGCUUAUCAGCUUGUUGGUGGGGUAGUGGCUUACCAAGGCUUUGACGGGUAGCCGGCCUGAGAGGGUGACCGGCCACAUUGGGACUGAGAUACGGCCCAGACUCCUACGGGAGGCAGCAGUGGGGAAUAUUGCACAAUGGGCGGGGGCCUGAUGCAGCAACGCCGCAUGCGGGAUGACGGCCUUCGGGUUGUAAACCGCUUUCGCCUGUGACGAAGCGUGAGUGACGGUAAUGGGUAAAGAAGCACCGGCUAACUACGUG